GAUGAAGAACGUAGUGAAAUGCGAUAAGUAGUGUGAAUUGCAGAAUUCAGAGAAUCAUCGAAUCUUUGAACGCACAUUGCGCCCCUUGGUAUUCCAUGGGGCAUGCCUGUUCGAGCGUCAUUUGUACCUUCAAGCUUUGCUUGGUGUUGGGUGUUUGUCCUGAGGGACUCGCCUUAAAGUAAUUGGCAGCCAGUGUUUGGUUUUGAAGCGCAGCACAAGUCGCGAUUCAAGGCUAUACACCAGCUUCCACAAGCCUUUUUCACUUUUGACCUCGGAUCAGGUAGGGAUACCCGCUGAACUUAAGCAUAUCAAUAAGCGGAGGA
rnacentral:misc_RNA from 1 species